UGGGGAAUUUUGGACAAUGGGCGCAAGCCUGAUCCAGCCAUGCCGCGUGCGGGAAGAAGGCCUUCGGGUUGUAAACCGUUUUUGUCAGGGAAGAAAUCCUUUGGGCUAAUACCUCGGAGGGAUGACGGUACCUGAAGAAUAAGCACCGGCUAACUACGUGCCAGCAGCCGCGGUAAUACGUAGGGUGCAAGCGUUAAUCGGAAUUACUGGGCGUAAAGCGUGCGCAGGCGGUCUUGCAAGACAGAUGUGAAAUCCCCGGGCUCAACCUGGGAACUGCAUUUGUGACUGCAAGGCUAGAGUACGGUAGAGGGGGAUGGAAUUCCGCGUGUAGCAGUGAAAUGCGUAGAUAUGCGGAGGAGCACCGAUGGCGAAGGCAGCCUCCUGGGCCAGUACUGACGCUCAUGCACGAAAGCGUGGGGAGCAAACA
rnacentral:rRNA from 1 species